CUCGACAUAGCUCAGCCCGGUAGAGCGACAGACUGUAGUGAUCUGUUGGUCCUUGGUUCGAAUCCGAGUGUCGAGA